GGCUUCUUUUUGCUCUGAGGUUCCGGUCGCGCACGGGUCGAGCCGCGGGGUGUGAGCCGCGCGGGCCGCCGUAGUCAGCUGCUGCAAGCAGGAAGUGUCCGAGAAGCAGGCGGAGAUUGCACCAUGGCCCCGGACCCCUGGUUCUCCACGUACGAUUCUACCUGCCAAAUUGCACAAGAGAUUGCUGAGAAAAUUCAACAACGGAAUCAGUAUGAAAGAAAUGGUGAAAAUACAACCAAGCUUACGGUGACAAUCAGAGCUUUGUUGCAGAAACUGAAGGAAAAGAUCGCCCUUUUGAAGGACUUAUUGCUAAGAGCUGUGUCAACACAUCAGAUAACGCAGCUCGAAGGAGACCGAAGACAGAACCUAUUGGACGAUCUUGUAACUCGAGAGAGACUCCUUCUGGCCUCCUUUAAGAAGGAGGGCGCAGAGCCGGAACCCAUCAGGUCCAGCCUGAUGACAGGAGGGGCCAAGCGGGCAGUACCCAACCCUUGGCUCUUCGAGGAGCCGGAGGAGACCAGAGGCUUGGGCUUUGACGAAAUCCGGCAACAGCAGCAGAAAAUCAUCCAAGAACAGGAUGCAGGCCUGGAUGCCCUUUCCUCGAUCAUAAGUCGCCAGAAACAAAUGGGGCAGGAAAUUGGGAAUGAACUGGAUGAACAAAACGGUGAGGCCAUAAAAAGAAGAGGGAAUGAAGACGUGGACACACAUGCAGGGAAGACGGUGUGAGGACACAGCAAGAGGGCGGCUGUCAGCAAGUCACGGAGAGGGGGCCUCCGAGAAAGCAGUUCUGCCGACACCUUGAUCUCAUACUUCUGGCCUCCAGGAUUGUGAGAAAAUAAAUGUCACUGAAGUCACCUGAUCUUGGUACUUGGAGGCAGGUCCACGAGUCAAGGACCAGGUUGAGCAGUGUAGGUGGCUUGCUUGGUAUGUCAGUGGGUUUGUUUACCCCCAAGUCGUCUUUCUGGGAUGGAGUCUGUAUGGACGGGCAGGUGUACCGGCAGGCAGCUUUCCCCUUAGGGUGUGUGGCUGGGGUAGAAGAGGACACUGCAGACUCAGGACCCUUGGCUGCAAGCCUCACCCCAAAAUCACGAAGGGAAAGAGAACUGUAACCUCGGGGUGACAUCUUUUUAGAGGCUUUAUUUCUUUUCACCUCUGGGCCUGUCCCAGAGGCUCUUCUUGGACUCACUUGUGCCAAGCACUCCCCAGGCUGACCUUCCUCUGAAGAAGCUCUUCGGGGGCCUCCAGCUGGGAGCCGGUGCUGCCGACCCCAGUGUCCACUGGGCAAGCGCGAGGGCCAGGCGCUCAGCUGCUCUCGAGACAGCUCUCCGCGCAGAUGCCCUGCCUCCUGCCUCCCAGCCUCUUCUCUGUAGGCCAUUCUUUGGCUCCCAAGGGCCAUUGACUCCAGGCUUGGAGCUUCUCCAGGGUUCCACCGGGAAGAAAGAGCUCCUAUCUGUAGCUCUGAUCAUGUAUUUUAAGUUGCAGUUUUUCUUUUCAGUUUUGGUUUAUUUGUCAGUACAGUCCCAACUAUCUUUUUUUAAAUUUUUUUUUAGAUAAAGAAAACCUUUCACAUGACUUGCUCAUUGAUGGUGUUUCAUUGAUAGUGUUCCUUCGUGUUUCAGGGCCUCCAUGGAUUUAUUCUUUCAAACACAAUUUUACUGGCCUUUCAUUGAGCUCUCAGGAAGGAAGGGGGCAGCCGUGUAUACUUGCUCUACUGUCCUGAGCUCAAAGUCUCUCUUUAUAUUUCUUAACGAGGUCUCAGCAUCUAUAGACAUCAUUUUCCUGAAGCAGUCAGUGUUCUGGAAGCUUCAGUCAAACAAGUUUUUCAUCUAGUCCAGGAAGGUUGUUUUCUAGGGCUUCAUUAAUUUGAGGGAUGCCCCCAAGGUAACAUCCGAUGUGUUUACAGAUGACUUUGCCUGAAGGUAAGACAAUGAGAGAGGUUUGGAAGAAGGUGAUGCUUUUCCUGGACCUUAGGGGAUUGAAUACUCCGUGAAUGUGAAAUCAGGCCCUGUUCAGAGUGUUCAUUAUUCAUUUCUAGGCAGGGCCUGGUUUAUAGUGAAGGGGCUAGUCGGGGGGAGAGAGGGAGCGAGCGAGCGCGUGAGAGCAAGUAUGUCGUCCCCGCAAUUGUCCGGCACCAACUGGGCGUCCAGUGAUUGAAUUCCACUUCGACACUGUUGACGCUGCUGAGGGCGUCAGGGUUCUGACCCCGGGACUGCCCUCACUUCCGAUUCCCGCCGGAAGUCCUGAGGAGGCGGAAGCCCUUCUGCUCCAUCAGCUACAAAUGCAGUGUUCCCCUGACCCCACCCCCGCCCCCCACUUCGGGAUCAGGAAAGCCAGUGGAAGGGGUGCAGAGGGCAGCGUCUUGGGGUGGGGGGCCCGCAAGCUUCCAUGACCUCUGCAGGCACAUCAGCCUCCUGGAGCCUCCGUGUCUGCACCAGUCCAGAAGCUCCCUGAACCUCGUUGUUCAAGAGUUGUCUUCGAGGCUUUGCCAAAACAGGAGAGAUGGGUGAAACCUUGGGCCGCCUGAAGAACCCAGACUCUGCGUGUGCCGGCUCUGCAGAAAAGAUCCUCGGACACAAGCAUCUGCCUUCACUGGCUUCACCCCUGUGGGAGAACUGGGUCGGGCCCGAUUCAGGUCCCAAGGACGUCCUUGGCCCUCUGCUCUGGGAACUCCUUCACCCCUUUCUUCUAAGGCAGUGUCUCGAUCUUUACCCUGGCCCCCAAGCUCGUCUGGGAGGUCAUCGGAUGAGAGAGAGGGUUUUCCAAAGGGAAAGCUGUGGACACAGUUGUCAGGGAAAAGGCCAUCGAUCCUCAGGCCCUCGGGCAGCGGGCCCCGCUCCCCAGGCUUCCUUGCCCCGGCUUCACCGCAGUUCCCAGCCGACUGCCAAGGGGAGGUUGUCAGGCCGACGGCAGCAGCCGGAGUGGAGGAUGGAGGACAGAAAAGCCAGCACGAGAGCCCGACGAGAAUCUCCCCGGGAGGGACGGAGCGGCCGCAGAUGCAGGAGCCCGUCACCCCGGAGCGCUGCCUUCCGCCACGUUGACCCAGGGGUGACGCUGCUUGUCUUCCUCGGUGCCUUUGCAGGAAGGGGCAGUCGGGAGCUCUCCCUGGAGGUCAUGCCGGGGGUCUCCAGAACCACCCCCAGGUUUGGUGCUUUGCUAGAAGGACUCCCGGGAGCCAGCAGCCACCUGGCCACCGAUGGGCAUUUCUGUGCACCCCUCAGGACUCCCCGUGCUUUUGCAGUUGUUCACCUGUAAAGAGAUGCACACUCUGAGGUCCUCCAAGAGCACCUGCCAAGCCAAGGUCAAACCAGGCAACAGGCUGCCGUGCUGUGUUCAUUCACACACAGAGGUGGCCAAAGGAUGGGGACUCCAGCGCAGGGGCCUGUCGGACAGGGUUUGAACCCCAACCCUGGCCCCUGGUAGGGGGGACAGCCUCGGGCAAGUCCUGAACGCUUCUGGACCACCUCUUCUCUUUUGAAAAAUAGACACAUGCUUCCAGGAUACCCGGAUGAGUUGUUUCGGAUUUAAGAUAUAAUCCGUGGUGUGUGUGUGUGUGCAUUUAUAUGCAUAUACAUUUCUUUUAGAAACAGUGAUUCUAUAUUUGCAAAUUCUGUGUUCACGGUGACUUUAUAGAACAGACGUACCAGGAAUAAGAAGAUUCGACUCUCGUUGGACUCACGGUGAUUAGGAGUGAUUUCAGUGAGAGCCCAAAGCACAAUUAGGGAAAAGGCAGGGGGACGUCCAGGGGGCCUCUCCCAAGGGCCAGAGCCACGCCAGAUGUGCUAACAGCCCCCAACUGCUAUUGGGACACCACCUACGAGGUGUUGCCAACCAGGAGAGCCUCAGGGCCCAGCGCUUUUCUGAGGGACUGGUCACGAAGGCACCCUCUGCCUGGCACAUUCGCAGAUUCCAGAAGGAAAGCAGGCUUUCUGCACGAGCCCUACCUUUCCUGCAGUUGAGGACCAGCAAGCGGUGGGAACCUUCCCCAAAAGUUCCCCGACGGCAGCCGACGAUGGAAGCACAACUUUUCCAGGAAAAGCACCCAGGCCUGGGGGGUUGACUCUCUGCGCGGAGGCCUCUCCAGCCCGGUUUAUCCUACGGCUCCACUUCUCUGUGAUGGGAGGGUCUACGGCUGACUGAGGAUGCUGCGUCCCAGCAGCGAGGAGACCUGUACCCCUCAGAAGGGAAGGGGGGCAGAGAGGAGGUGGAAGCCGCCGGGACCCAGCCCCACUCCGCUCCUCGUCUCACCCAGAGCAUGUCAUCGCCGACCUUCCGCUGAGCUUGGCCUCCCUGCAGGAGCUCGGAGGACGUGCGCUGUUCAAAGUGGCACUUGCUCCGCAUCUGGGGUGGUGAAAAGGAUUGAAGCGCUUGGGUCAUAAAAACCAAAGCAGCAGGAAGGAAGUGGUCUGAUUAGAACCAAGUGCGGGGCGGGGGCAGUGGGGGGGAGCCCCAGUUGCUGAGCGGUGCUCUCAGGUGGCUCAGGGUCCUUAAAGGAGCCGGAGCACAGAGGUGGCAGGGCUGGACUGUGUCUGGAGGCGGCAGGGGGGAACACGAUGUUGUCUUUCCAUCUGGAUGGUCCCCCCAGGAGGGAAGACUCUCAGAGAAAACAUGGAGAAGGCAGCGGCAAAGACCUUUUCUCCCGGUUUUAUUGUCAUUACAAUUGUUGUGACCAUUUUAAACAGUAGUUUAGAAACUGGGUUGUCGUCCAGUAGUUCUGUCAACCAGUUUGUUUGUUUGAAAUCCAUAAACACAGCUUUUAAAAAAAUUAUUAUUUUUUUUAUAUUGUGUCCUGAAGCAUUAACCACCAGCCUGUGAGUGUGUUUCAGUGGUACGUGCUGUGUACCCACGAAUAAGUGAACUGGAGACCCCUGGGUGUUUCUGUGUCCUCGGGGACAUUUGAGUAGGAUCAUGUGAGGCCCUGCUUGCAGAGGGGACCCUCCCUUCUGCUUCUGGAUUCACGCUUGGCUCCUGUAGGAUUUAUGCCGCUUAACCUCAUUGCAGGCUUGGCCAGGUGUGGGGACAGGGGAGGCCAGUGUGCGUUUACUGUCUGAUGUCGUCAUCUAAUCAGAGAGCAUGCGAGUAGCCACUUUGGUUUUGCUUUGUUUUAAAAAAAUAAUACUUUCUCUUGUACUUCUUCUUGGUGGAAACGGGCAGAACAUCUGGGAGGUAGGAAGUAGCUGGGAUUGUGGGGGAGAUGUUUUGGGUGGGUUCGUGGAGAGAUGGGGCUUGAAGUCGUGGUCGGCAUGGAAAUGAAUGAGGCAACGGUAUUGGUUUUAGGUCACUUAUGUGCGUGUAUCCUAACACCACUACAGUCAGGCCUCAGUUUUCCAUGUGAAGGGAGGGAACAACCUGAGUGUGUGUGUGUGUGUGUACAAGAGAGACGGAGAAAGACACAUGUGGGCUUAGACUCAGAUUUGCCUAGGACCACCUCUGACGGUCUAGGCGCUCACAACACAUCAUGUCCCGGGUGGCACUUCUGCGCACCUGCUCGGGGGAGUGUGUGGGCCUACGGGUGCCUCAGCUUGGGUCAGUGGGAAUUCUCUUGUCCUCCAGUUGUUUGACCGGAAUGAUGCAAAGACCAACCCAGGAGGAGCUGCUCAGUCUUCUUCUCGAUUGAGUUGUACUUUUUUAUUAUUGUAAUUUGUUUUGACAGCAGAAGUUUCUGAGCUGGGGAUCAAAUCCGCACCACAGCAAUGACAACGCCAGAUCCUUAACCCGCUGAGCCACCAGGGACCUCCUAAGUUGUGUUUGAAAGGCCCAUGGAGUGCCGGUUGUAGAGAGGAGGAAAAGUCCCAUGAUGAUUAGGAAAGCUUUUUUCUUGCCUCCUCUCUUAACUUGUGUCCCUUAGCUUGAAAAUUGAGUGUCUGUUUCUUUUCCGCAGAGACACUGAGUCUCAGGUUGGGAGCAGACUCCGGAGGGAGUCGAGCAUGCAGGCUGUUUAUUAGGUUGUACCUCUGGCAUCAACACUUGUGGGAGGAGGCCGUGGAAGCAGGAGGGGCAGAGGGAGAAGCUGAGCUCAAAGGCAGUGUCUGCCAAGCCCCAUGGGAAGCUUUGGAGCCAAAAUGGCCCGACAGGGUUGGCCCGUGUUGAAUUCACAUGGCUGGGCCUUGAGACCCUCAACGUGGUGAGCCACUGGGUGUGGACGCCCUGCGAAGACCAUGACCUUGGGCAAAGACAGCUCCAUGCCUUUGCUGAUGACCAAGGCCGUCUACCGAAAGCACUCCCGGUAGCUGGGGCUCCGAGCCUUUCCUUGAAGGAGGGCCUCGCUGGUACAUCUCUGUGGGUCCCCCCGCCCCCCCGAUGGAUCAGUUUUAAACAUCUGAAAAUUGUUAGGUGUAGACUAAGAAGUCAUAGAUCAAAUGGGACACGAGGAACCUGGAACGCAGGUCUCUGGAAAGGAUGGACCUGUACCCAGUGCCUUCAGAAGAUGCUCUUAAGUCUUCGGAGUUAACCCAGCAUGUUGUUCUGGCCUAUUUCUAAGCAUAGCUUUGUUAGUAGUUAGGAUAAAACUGUGGAGCCUUGUGUCUUUUCACCUUUUUGAGUUAAAUGUGUAUCAUUACAGGAGCUGUCUGUAUUUUAGGGCCUUCUGUCUUUAAAAGCUGUUACUCAGAGCUUGUUCAAAACUAACUGGAAUCUGUCAGCAGAUAGAAAGGGUUCUCUUCGGGAACUUGGGAAAUCAGAAUAAAAAACCCCAACCCAGUAGAAAUACUUAUUUGCCUUGUUCUCUGUGCACCAGUGUCCUACUAACCGGCUCUUCAGCAUCAUCCUUCUUUUAUUUUUAAAAAAAGAAAAACCGGAGUUCCCGUUAUGGCUCAGUGGAUAAUGAAUCCUACUAGGAACCAUGAGGUUGCGGGUUCUAUCCCUGGCCUCGCUCAGUGGGUGAAGGAUCUGGCAUUGCCGUGAGCUGUGGUGUGGGUCACAGGUGUGGCUCGGAUCCUGCGUUGCUGUGGCUGUGGUGUAGGCCGGCGGCUACAGCUCUGAUUAGACCCCUGGCCUGGGAACCUCCAUAUGCCUCAGGUGCAGCCCUAGAAAAGACAAAAAGACAAAAAACAAAACAAACAAAAAUAGUUCCAGACUUGAUAGUUUUAUUCUUUUAAAAAUUUCACACUGCAGGGGUAAUUUUCACUAUGAACUAAAUAAUUAAGAGGAAAAUGAAACAGGCGGAUUUCUCGGUGGGGACGGAGACCACGUAGAGGCACCCCCGUUCUGUGAGUUCAGUGGGAAAUAAGGGGCUUUUCUUUGGGGAUUCGCUUGCAUGCUCUCUCUGCCUUGUACAGUAGAACAAAGUAACCUCUCCUUCCAAGAGGUGUUUCUCUUUGUCACAUCAGCUCAGGCUCCAUUCUGAAUUCACUCUGGUUAAAAUUACAAGGAGUGGUAACGACCGUGGCUGGGACAGCUGCAAAGGUCAGAGCGGGCAACCCCUGGGCUCUGCAACCUGGAGGUCCUUCCAGAGCCUUCCCACGCCCGGAGCUCCCCCAGAGAUGGGGUGAGCACCCCAGCUUUUCCCCGUCUCAGGGGGAGGGGUGUCCUGCGUCUCAGGGAAGCAGAAGGGAGCAGAACGUGUAUCUUGAUCUUUGCGGGAUGGUAGCAUCUGGGUUUCACUUCGUAGAGCCUGCAGUGUGAUCUGGGUGAGGGACUCGGUCUGCGACUCGGGCAACUUAGUUAACGUCUCUGUCCGUCAGCUUGUUUUGAAAGCAGGAAAACUAGUGCCCACCCGACAGCGUUUUGGUGGGGGUUAAACGGGAUAAAACAUGUGACAGGCGCACUGCCCGGCAUUCUCAGAGCUGCCCCUCGUGCCUGUCAGCGUGGUGCCUCGUGCUUUGCAGGUGGUCAGUGAAGGUUUGUUGAAUUGAGAUUCUGCAGGUUCUCACAGAGCCACUGGGCCUCCCCACUGUCCCCCUCACUCCAUCGGGCAGAGGGAGACGGGCUGAGGGCGGGGUGGACACCGGUUGAUGUCACUUUGUCAUUGGAAGCAAGUAUGGGGAUUGAAUCCCGAUCCCUUUUCGCGUUGAAACUGGCUGGGAAUCUAACACCCUUCUCGAGUGUUGACUGUCUCACUUAGGAUUUGGAAGCGCCAGCAAAUGCCUCUGAUGUUCCUGUCCACGCUCUCCACUGAAAGGUCACUGUCAGCCCCUCUCAGCGGCCAGGCUGUCUUUGCUCUCGGGGAGAGCACUUAAUUGACUGCCCAAGCUGACGAAUGUGUUUCGUCCGUCCUGUGGAAAUAGGUGCUUCCCGCGAUUUUCCGAGACCAUCAAGUCGAACCCCCACCUAUCCGGGGUUUAGUAUUUCUUCCUUCGGUAUCUGAAAAUUGUUCAGUCUGUAGAGUAAGAAAGCAUAGGUCAAACUAGGUGGCCCAGGUUUGUUUGCCCAGGUGUCUGCCGUGCCUUUAUUGCAACUUUGGGGCGUGAGAAAGGGGGAAGGCCUAUUAAAAAGAGAACAGUGGUUAAGAACAAAGGCUUUGGAAUUGGAGAGGGGACCCCCCCCCCCAUUUUCCAGCUGUGGAACCAAGAACAAUUUUCCUAAUCUUUCCAAGCUCCGUCCCCCCAUCUACAGAGCCGGGAUGGUAACACCUACCUGACGGGCCGGGAGGAUUCAACUGAAUAGGAUCUCGCCUCAGGCCCUCGACGGCCCCAAGCUGAAGUCCCCGGCCCAGGGCGGCCCUGUGGCCCAGCCGCGCUCCGAUGCCCCCCGAGCGCAGUUCCGUUUUUCAUCCCCAGUGAUGACAGGCGUGCUGCCUGAAGAAAUGUUUGAACUCGCCUCCUUGACCGUUCCGUUUCUGCAGGUGAUGCCGCACACCUGUGAUACGGCUGCUCUCAGGGUAUAAAUCUCCCCAGCGCACAGAAUGUUCCUUUUCACCACGCGCCGUGCAGCCCCAGCAUUAGUCACUGAUCUUGGAGCCUUCUGGUUUUGAUUGGCCGAGUCAGGGUUCACCGAGGCACAUUCCUCCCCGAGAUCGCACCAUAUGGUCCGGAAAAGGGAGUGUUUGCGAGCCGCGCGGGCGGCCGCGGAGACACGCGGCCCGGAGCCGGCGCAUGGUGCCGUUUUCGGCCCCUCCCGGCGGACAGCCGCGCAGGAUGAUUAAUCUUUUAGCAUCUUUGUUCUUUCUGUUUCGUUAUAACACUAGCGCUGUUUAAAUCACUCUGGAAAUAACACGCCUGACAUUUCUACAGUUCAAAAAAAAAAA